ensembl:lncRNA
CCCACCUGGAGUACUGCAGUCAGCCCCUGGGGUCCCCAGAAUAAGGACAUGAACCUGUGUAUCUAGAGGAUGGCCAAGAAGAGGAGUGAAGCUUCACUUCUAUAAGAAUUAGCUGGACUGAGAUUGUUGUUGGAGCUGUUCAGCCUGGAGAAGAGAAGGCUCUGUGGAGAUAUUAUUGCAGACAAUCAGUUCCUAAAGGGAUAACUGCAUAAACUACUUAGAGGAGCCAUCAGAAGUGAGAUCUCUAGCUCUAUGGGGCAGGUCUCUGUCACUUGAACUAGUGGAAUAAAUACAGAUGUUGCUAAACAGUGCCAUCCUUCGUGUGCGACACAUAGUCAAAGGUCUCAAAUUGUUCAUUUAAGAUGAAUCCAAAGAAACUAUACAAUGUUCUACGAGGAGAAGCAUUGUACAAAUAUGUGCAAACAAAAAGGAAGAAAAAGAGAAAGAAAGAGAGAGAGAGAAAAAGUGAGAGAGAGAAGAAAAAAAAAGUCUUCCUGUAAGAAGAAAAGAAAUAUGUAUUAUUAUUCUUGAAAGAUGAAGCAUAUAAGGAAAACCAG